GGGUAGUUUGACUGGGGCGGUCUCCUCCUAAAGAGUAACGGAGGAGCACGAAGGUUGGCUAAUCCUGGUCGGACAUCAGGAGGUUAGUGCAAUGGCAUAAGCCAGCUUGACUGCGAGCGUGACGGCGCGAGCAGGUGCGAAAGCAGGUCAUAGUGAUCCGGUGGUUCUGAAUGGAAGGGCCAUCGCUCAACGGAUAAAAGGUACUCCGGGGAUAACAGGCUGAUACCGCCCAAGAGUUCAUAUCGACGGCGGUGUUUGGCACCUCGAUGUCGGCUCAUCACAUCCUGGGGCUGAAGUAGGUCCCAAGGGUAUGGCUGUUCGCCAUUUAAAGUGGUACGCGAGCUGGGUUUAGAACGUCGUGAGACAGUUCGGUCCCUAUCUGCCGUGGGCGCUGGAGAACUGAGGGGGGCUGCUCCUAGUACGAGAGGACCGGAGUGGACGCAUCACUGGUGUUCGGGUUGUCAUGCCAAUGGCACUGCCCGGUAGCUAAAUGCGGAAGAGAUAAGUGCUGAAAGCAUCUAAGCACGAAACUUGCCCCGAGAUGAGUUCUCCCUGACUCCUUGAGAGUCCUGAAGGAACGUUGAAGACGACGACGUUGAUAGGCCGGGUGUGUAAGCGCAGCGAUGCGUUGAGCUAACCGGUACUAAUGAACCGUGAGG
rnacentral:rRNA from 2 species